CUCCAUUCGGGGGUGUUUACUAGCAACUCUCGCGAGACCGCGCCACCAGCGAGGAGACCCACGGUCGGGAGCGUCAGCGCAGCGUGCGCGCUCCUGGCACCCAGGGCCGCAGACGCGUACCGGGAGAUAGACGGAAGUCUCGCGACACUUGCGGCCCGACUUAAUAAUGGCUGAUGGUACAGACACCAGCUGAACAGGGGAAAGCCAGAGUUCACACGUUGAAGGUCCUAAGCCCAACGACUACUACACAAGCACAAAAGAUCCUGGAGGUCCUAGUGGACCUGCACAGCUAGCAGCAUCAUGUAUGGAGACGCUUUCAGGUCACAGCUUCAACCUGACAGACACCAGACGUUGACGGCAAGAUUGCCCAUGGAGAUACGUCUCCACAGCUUCCCCACCAGCACACGUGUGGCCGGAAACCAGGAGGACUCUGAGCUACUUCCACCAAAACCUGUGCUGUUACCCAGGAUCUCCAAGGGUUUGGUUCUCCAUUUUUUACAUUCUGAAGACAGGAUCGAGGCGUGAAAGAGCUCUGGAAUUAACACUGAUCUUCUGUGUCCAAGUCACAGGAAGAAAUGCUACAGGAAGUGUCGCUGCGGGGGGAAGCAAACAAUCAGUCCUGACUCCAACCUACUUCCGACCUUCUGCGUCAGUGUCACAAUAUCAAGUUCUCAGUUUUAAAUCCCUACAUGCUGCCAUAUUCUUAUAGUGACAAGGUUUUCAAAGUGCUAGGUAUGUGGCCCUCAAGCAUGACUGCGUUAUAGAAUCUGAAUUAAAGAUAUUUCACAGUA